rnacentral:rRNA from 1 species
CCUACGGAGGCUGCAGUGGGGAAUAUUGGACAAUGGGGGGAACCCUGAUCCAGCCAUGCCGCGUGUGUGAAGAAGGCCCUCGGGUUGUAAAGCACUUUCAGUGAGGAAGAACGCCUGGUGGUUAAUACCCAUCAGGAAAGACAUCACUCACAGAAGAAGCACCGGCUAACUCCGUGCCAGCAGCCGCGGUAAUACGGAGGGUGCGAGCGUUAAUCGGAAUUACUGGGCGUAAAGCGCGCGUAGGUGGCUUGAUAAGCCGGUUGUGAAAGCCCCGGGCUCAACCUGGGAACGGCAUCCGGAACUGUCAAGCUAGAGUGCAGGAGAGGAAGGUAGAAUUCCCGGUGUAGCGGUGAAAUGCGUAGAGAUCGGGAGGAAUACCAGUGGCGAAGGCGGCCUUCUGGACUGACACUGACACUGAGGUGCGAAAGCGUGGGUAGCAAACAGGAUUAGAUACCCCAGUAGUC